AACGAACGCUGGCGGCAGGCCUAACACAUGCAAGUCGAACGUGAAGCCACCUUCGGGUGGUGGAAAGUGGCAGACGGGUGAGUAACGCGUGGGAACGUGCCUUUCGGUUCGGAAUAACCCAGGGAAACUUGGGCUAAUACCGGAUACGCCCUUCGGGGGAAAGAUUCAUCGCCGAGAGAUCGGCCCGCGUCGGAUUAGCUAGUUGGUAGGGUAAUGGCCUACCAAGGCGACGAUCCGUAGCUGGUCUGAGAGGAUGACCAGCCACACUGGGACUGAGACACGGCCCAGACUCCUACGGGAGGCAGCAGUGGGGAAUAUUGGACAAUGGGCGAAAGCCUGAUCCAGCCAUGCCGCGUGGGUGAAGAAGGCCCUAGGGUUGUAAACCCCUUUCAGCGGGGAAGAUAAUGACGGUACCCGCAGAAGAAGCCCCGGCUAACUCCGUGCCAGCCGCCGCCGUAAAAC
rnacentral:rRNA from 1 species